GACGAACGCUGGCGGCGUGCUUAACACAUGCAAGUCGAACGGAAAGGCCCUGCUUUUGUGGGGUGCUCGAGUGGCGAACGGGUGAGUAACACGUGAGUAACCUGCCCUUUACUUUGGGAUAACUUCAGGAAACUGGGGCUAAUACCGGAUAGGAGCUCCUGCUGCAUGGUGGGGGUUGGAAAGUUUCGGCGGUUGGGGAUGGACUCGCGGCCUAUCAGCUUGUUGGUGGGGUAGUGGCUUACCAAGGCUUUGACGGGUAGCCGGCCUGAGAGGGUGACCGGCCACAUUGGGACAGAGGUACGGCCCAGACUCCUACGGGAGGCAGCAGUGGAGAAUAUUGCACAAUGGGCGGAAGCCUGAUGCAGCAACGCCGCGUGCGGGAUGACGGCCUUCGGGUUGUAAACCGCUUUCGCCUGUGACGAAGCGUGAGUGACGGUAAUGGGUAAAGAAGCACCGGCUAACUACGUG
rnacentral:rRNA from 1 species